CGAGCGAGGCACGGCCACGGCGUUGGACUCACCGGGGACGGCUGCUCCUCCCGAGGUAACCAACCCCUCUGAUCCUCUUCUUCCCCCAAUUCUAUUUGCAUCUGCGUGCGUACGCAACUUCAGUUCUGUACAUACAUAUUCAGUUCAAACUGAACCCCAACCCCAACCCGUUGGCUGAAGCUUCAGUUCUGUACAUGCAUAUUGAGUUCAAACUGAACCCCAACCCAACCCGUUGGCUGAAGCAUUUACAUGCCUAUGUAAACCUGGGAAAUGGGAAUGCUCCAAAACCUAAAUUAAAUCAAAUCCAAACUGCAUAUAUACCGCUUGUCCGUCAAGUGAAAUCCACCAAACCAACCCACUCCAAUCCAUGACCGACAGUACCAACCCAACCAUCUCAAAGUUUUGGUUUUGGACUACUACUACUGAACCCAAUUUCCAAUCUUAACCUACCCAUCAGCCGCACAUUAAGCUCUGUACCUAUGUUCAGUUUGAUUAACCGAUUAGCAAAUCAGUGAGGGCAGGUUCCAAUUUUUACUAGACGGGAAAGCAUGCCACGCUGUAAUUUUGAUCGCUCUACGGUUGGACGACAAACAUGGAGGAAACCCUGCUGACGUGCAUGCGCUCCUCUGCGCUUGGUGACCAAUACAUCUGCUCCAUCGUGAACAUGUGCUUCGUGUCAAACAGGUAGCCGCCAAGGGUGAGCUCGUGCAGCGGUUUAGGUAUAGAUGUGCAUCCCAUAAGGGAAGCUACAGUUUCUUUCAUAAAACUAUUUGUUGUUAGUGCAUUGCAUAUUGAAGUAAACUGGAUGGGCUUAUCUUGAGUUCUCCAUCAAGUUAUAUUACUUUGACAGGAAAAAGUGCAGAAAGACCAUAUAAAGUACUCUGGUGAGUCUCUCAAUUGAACUAGAUUUUUUUUAGGUGCGUGAAACAUGCACAAUGAUUUGCUCUGUUGAGUGUAAGUUGAACUAGCACUUGAAUUAUAGCUCAUGCCGGUAUGCUAAUUUUCUCUUUCUCAUAUCAGCUCUCCUUUUUGUCCAUUUUUAUUCACUACUACCUGAAGGAAACUGUACUGGAUAGCAGCAGUAGAAACUGUACUAUGGAAGGGACGGUGAGCGAUUCUGGGAAAUUCCUUGUGGCCGUGAAAGGCCAGGAUGCCAUACUGAUUGUAGUGCAAUGAGCGGGCAUUAUUUAGGCCAAGUGUUUAAUAUUCAAUAUUUUAUCUUUCCACAUCACGGGAAUGAGCUCCCGCAAAGCCGAGUAGCGAAUCCUGGGAGUGAGGUCAAAUGCUGGAUGCAUAUGGGUUUUGUCAACGACAAUGGCCAAAAGGCGGCAAAAGUAGACAAAAACUUCUUCACUAUCAAAGAUACUACAUUGUCCAGCAGAAACUAGAGCAACAGUCCAGCAGAAAAGGAAGCAGCCAGAGAAGAAGCAGCAGUAGGAAAAGAAAUAGUCCGAGGUUCAGUGGCGCAUUCUCCAGUGCUCUGCAGCUUCUUCGCCAUUAUUGAUGGGUGAGCAAGGCAAAUCCACUAGCUAAGCUCUCUCUCUCUCUCUCUCUCUCUCUCUCUCUCUCUCUCUCAUGAAACUUACCGGUUCCAUCAGAUAAGGUGAAAUGGGACACAAAUUGAAACGACUAAAUUUGAACCAGGAAUUUCUUGUAAUCUUGAUCAUUUUUUGUGUGCAUUCUA